AUUGAACGCUGGCGGCAGGCUUAACACAUGCAAGUCGAGCGCCCCGCAAGGGGAGCGGCAGACGGGUGAGUAACGCGUGGGAAUCUACCCAUCCCUACGGAAUAGCUCCGGGAAACUGGAAUUAAUACCGUAUACGCCCUACGGGGGAAAGAUUUAUCGGGGAUGGAUGAGCCCGCGUUGGAUUAGCUAGUUGGUGGGGUAAAGGCCUACCAAGGCGACGAUCCAUAGCUGGUCUGAGAGGAUGAUCAGCCACAUUGGGACUGAGACACGGCCCAAACUCCUACGGGAGGCAGCAGUGGGGAAUAUUGGACAAUGGGGGCAACCCUGAUCCAGCCAUGCCGCGUGAGUGAUGAAGGCCUUAGGGUUGUAAAGCUCUUUCACCGGGGAAGAUAAUGACGGUACCCGGAGAAGAAGCCCCGGCUAACUUCGUGCCAGCCGCCAGCCGUAA
rnacentral:rRNA from 1 species